UCGGGAAUUUUGGGCAAUGGGCGAAAGCCUGACCCAGCAACGCCGCGUGAAGGAUGAAGUAUUUCGGUAUGUAAACUUCGAAAGAAUAGGAAGAAUAAAUGACGGUACUAUUUAUAAGGUCCGGCUAACUACGUGCCAGCAGCCGCGGUAAUACGUAGGGACCAAGCGUUGUUCGGAUUUACUGGGCGUAAAGGGCGUGUAGGUGGCAAGGUGUGUCUGACGUGAAAGCCCUCGGCUUAACCGAGGAAGUGCGUCGGAAACUACCUAGCUCGAGUGCGAGAGAGGAUGGCGGAAUUCCCAGAGUAGAGGUGAAAUUCGUAGAUACUGGGAGGAACACCAGAGGCGAAGGCGGCCAUCUGGCUCGUAACUGACACUGAGACGCGAAAGCGCGGGGAGCAAACAGGAUUAGAUACCCAUGUAGUCCCUGAGCGGGCUGGCAAGGCGCAU
rnacentral:rRNA from 1 species